AUUGAACGCUGGCGGCAGGCUUAAUACAUGCAAGUCGAGGGGCAGCGCAGUGUAGCAAUACAUGGGCGGCGACCGGCAAACGGGUGCGGAACACGUACGCAACCUUCCUUUAAGUGGGGGAUAGCCCAGGGAAACUUGGAUUAAUACCCCGUAAUAUUAUGAAGUGGCAUCACUUUAUACUUAUAGCUCCGGCGCUUAAAGAUGGGCGUGCGACUGAUUAGGUAGUUGGCGGGGUAACGGCCCACCAAGCCUGCGAUCAGUAACUGGUGUGAGAGCACGACCAGUCACAAGGGAACGUAGACACGGGCCCGACUUGUACGGGCAGCAGCAGUAAGGAAUAUUGGUCAAUGGACGAAAGUCUGAACCAGCCAUGCCGCGUGGAGGAUGAAGGUCCUCUGGAUUUUAAACUUCUUUUAUUUGGGAAGAAACCCACUGUUGCUACGGUGGUUGACGGUACCAGAUGAAUAAGCACCGACUAACUCCGUGCCAGCCGCCGCGGUAA
rnacentral:rRNA from 1 species